GGGCCCGCACAAGCGGUGGAGUAUGUGGUUUAAUUCGAUGCAACGCGAAGAACCUUACCAGGGUUUGACAUCCUGCGAAUCUCUUGGAAACGAGAGAGUGCCUUCGGGAGCGCAGUGACAGGUGGUGCAUGGCUGUCGUCAGCUCGUGUCGUGAGAUGUUGGGUUAAGUCCCGCAACGAGCGCAACCCACGUCUUUAGUUGCCAGCAUUUAGUUGGGCACUCUAGAGAGACCGCCGGUGAUAAACCGGAGGAAGGUGUGGAUGACGUCAAGUCAUCAUGCCCCUUACAUCCUGGGCUACACACGUACUACAAUGGUAGGUACAGAGAGCAGCCAAUGCGCGAGCAUGAGCAAA
rnacentral:rRNA from 1 species